CUGAAAAUUUAUAAAAUCCUCACCCAAUCCUCCAGACAACCAUUUCCCCUUCCUCCUUUUGUCAAUCCCCGGCGUCACUCUCUUGCUUGGCGUCGAGUUUGCCGUCAACGAGGAAGCUUUGCCACCGUUUCUCCAGUGCUUCGCAUACGGGGAUACUAAAUAAGAGCAAAUUUGUGGUGUUUGAAAUUUAAGGGGAGAAAAUGAAGAUCUGCUACAUAUACUAUCAUCUAGACAUCCAAACCUCAUUGAGCACACCAGUGAGGAAGCCAAGGAAGCUAAAGAUAUACAAGUGAGAAAGCUAGUGGAUACAUAGCUUAUGCAUCACAGGAACUCUUGGAAGCAAAAGAAACUACAGAUUAAGUUAUAGUUUUGUGUUUUAAAUUGUAGUGGGAGCAUUUGUUUGUAUUUGUGACAUGUUAUAGAAGCAAGUAUAUGAAUGAAUUAGAUUGGCUGGUUUGUUGA